rnacentral:rRNA from 1 species
UACAGAGGGUGCGAGCGUUAAUCGGAAUUACUGGGCGUAAAGCGCACGUAGUCGGCUUUGCAAGUCGGGUGUGAAAUCCCCGGGCUCAACCUGGGAACUGCAUCCGAGACUGCAUUGCUAGAGUAUGGGAGAGGGAAGCGGAAUUUCUGGUGUAGCAGUGAAAUGAGUAGAUAUCAGAAGGAACAUCAGUGGCGAAGGCGGCUUCCUGGACCAAUACUGACGAUCAGGUGCGAAAGCGUGGGGAGCAAACAGG